rnacentral:lncRNA from 1 species
GAUGAGGAACAAUUGGCACAUAAUGCAUAAGUUUGCUUUAUAAUUGACAAAUUAAAAGAAUUUUUCAUUUUUGAAUUUCAAUACAACUACAACCUAGUACAGCGAAUUAAUGCAUCUUUCUUUUAUCAAAUUUUCAAGGCCUCACCCACCAUUACUUGGAAAAAGUCGUGUCUUUUCCUUGGCUACUAUUAGCAAAUUAAAAGUCUAAUUAAUUAGCCCAGAUCGAAGAUUUUGAUUUUGAUUUUUAAUUAUUAAUUAAGUUCGAUAUAAAUAAACAGAACCGGAUGACUUGUAAGUACCAUUGUUGGAACAAGGGUAGAAGUCACCAGGCUGUCCAUUAACAGUGAAAGCGUCUGAAUUUAUGUCACUGCCUGAGUCAAUAUAGUCAAGGACAGCCUCCUUGACAUCCUUUUUCCACCAUUCACCUGGCGAUGUUGUGAAGAUCAAAUAAAAAGACAAUAUAUGUUAGUAAAAGACUUAAGAAUUUGAAAAAAAAAAAAUUACUAGAACUUAAUUUUUACGUACCUAAAAUGAUGGGAAUAUCAUAAGUAGUUCUGGAUUUUGAAUGGACAAUGAAAGCGCCAUGAACUGUAGCGCUUUGCCAGAUGUUCAUGGCGUGCCACCAUAGCGUCCCUUCCUUGUCAAAUAUUGUGACGUUUUUUCUUAGUUUAAACCCUGGCUCAAUUAGCCAGUUCACUUGAUCAGACUUCAAAGUGUUUUCCCUCACGCUUACAACUACAAAGAAAGGGGAAAAAAAAACGAUCAGUAACAACUUAAACAAACAAACAAAAACAAUGAAAAAGUAGAAUGUACCAAAAUAUUGUAACGUUGUCCUUCCCUCUAUUUUCAACGUCUAGGGCGAACGUUUCUCCAGCCCGCGCAUAUAUGGUAGGCCCUGGGAAUCGUCCGUUGAUAGUAAGAAUCUUCUUCGAUUGGCAAAGCCUAUCGAAAGAAGUUUCUUCAAUCUGUUGAUAGUACAAGAUAAAAUUGAUUAGUACGCAAAUCAAACGAUAAUUUUAAUGUUGCAAAAAACUAGUCAAUGAACAGACAAUACUUACAACGAAAUGAAAAAUAGUACUCCUAUUAUUUUGUGUUGAAGCGGUGUACUGAACCGCGAAAAAUAUGAUAAGUACCAAGCUAGUGUUGGCCUCUUUUUGGAAUGCCAUUUUUCUUUGCUAAAGAGUUAUAGAAGUCGCAAUUUUUGAGAAAAAGAUGAAGAAGGGCCCUAUCUUUUAAAGAAUGUAAUUAUCCUGGAGUCAAUUUAGAAUCUUUAUACUAGAUUAAAAGAAAGAAGAAGUUGUCUCACACAUUUCACUAAGAAAUGAAGAGGAGAAAUAUAUAUAGAGGAGAAAGGGGAAUAGAGCUCUAUCUAUUCAUAUGCAGAAAAAUUUAGUUCUUUCUCAAUUUGGAUAGAAGUCAAAUAAACAGGUUAAUCAGAUUGAAUUUGAGCAGGUUGUUAAAAAUUAGACGCAAAGGUCAUAAGUGUAAAAUCAUUUUGAGCUUCCUAUAAUACUUAUAACUUAUAAACUUAUAGCUUACAUUUUUCUAUAUAUGGUUUUAAAAGUUUUUUAAAAAAAUAUUCUUGUUGUGUUCAUAUCUAUCUUUGUUUUUUCUGUUUCAUUGAUCAAGUAUGAAAAAAAUAUAGAAACAGAAAAGUUCUCUUAUUUAGAUAAAUUUACUAGUUUUGCAUAGAAGAUUGGUAAUGUUUGAAUAAUACGUCACUACAUAACUAGAUAAAAUUAAUUGAGAGCAAUAACUACAAAAAAUAAAAUGAUAGUGGAUAUCUGAAAUAUAACUAAUUUAAGAUAUUUAUCACAUUAUGUAAGACCAUUAAGAUAUCACUUUUUAGGAAAAAGAAGAGACAUAAAAUAAAAAUUAAAUUCAAUAAAAUUUCCCAUCGUAUGAUAACAAACAAUUAUACUUUAUUGCUAUCACUAUCAUAUUGAUUACACCCAUAAGUAGGAAAAAGCAAAAAUAAAAAAAUAAGAACCAAAUAAGUAAUGUAAUACUUUAAAAUUAAAAGUUAAAACAUUCAAAAAUAUACAAAAACUAUAAAUUAUAAAUUGUCGUGUCAAUAUGAGCUAUUGCUAAUCUAAGUAGCCUAUGUUACAUAUUUAAUUCAAGAAGCAAAAUUAUUUACUCAUAAAAAACUAAAUUUUCUCUUCAAAAAAAUUCCUUUCAUGUAAAAGAAGUUUGGAUUAAUUAUGGAUAAAUAUGCAGUGGUCCCAACCUUUUUAUUUGUUUUGUACUACUUUUUACUCUCUUAUUCCUUAAUCUUUCUUACAGAUUACUAUUAUUAUUUGAAAUUUUUUAUUUUUCCAUAAAAAAAAAAACUAGUAUAAAUUAUGAUUUCUAAUACUCCUUUUAUCCAAAUUUAUGUAACAAUUUUUGUUUUUCGGAAGAUAAUUUGACUAAUUUUUAAAGUUGAAUUAAUAUUUUAAAAUUAAAAUUUAUCUAAAAAAACUAUAUGAUAAGUAUUAGCAACUGUAAUUUUUCUUAUGUCAAUAUGAUGAAAAAUAUAUAUUAUAAUAUUUUUAUAUAGCUUACAUAGUUUGAAUUUUAAGAAGCGAAAAAUGUCAUGUAAACAUAAAUUAGGACAAAAAAAUACUAUUUUUUGAAUAUGUUACUUUUAAUGGUCUAUUAGUACUAUUAACUAUGGGAGACGAGAGUAAUUGAAGGAUACCAGCUGAGGUAGUCAGCACAGUGUACCCCAAACAGCAAGUUGAAGUCAAUACGUAAACAUCAAAACAUAAAAAUAGAUAAUAUGCAGAGUAAAACUGACCACUAAGACUCAUAGAAACAGAAAAAAAUUCUUAUUUAGAUAAAUCUACUAGUUUUGCAUAGGAGAUUGGUAAUGUUUGAAUAAUACGUCAGCUACAUAACUAGAUAAAAUUAAUUGAGAGCAAUAACUACACAAAAUAAAUGAUAGUGGAUAAAUGAAUUAUAACUAAUUUUAGAUAUUUAUCACAUUAUGUAAGAACAUUAAUGUAUAGCUCUGUAGGGGGAAAAAAGAGACAUAAAAUAAAAAUUAAAUUGAAUAAAAUUUCCCCUCAUAUGAAAACAAACAAUUAUACUUUAUUGUUAUCUAUCACUAUCAUAUUGAUUACACCUAUAAGUAGGAAAAAGCAAAAAUUAAAAAAUAAGAACCAAAUAAGUAAUACUUUAAAAUUAAAAGUUAGACAUUUAAAAACUAUAAAAAAAAUAUAUAUAAAUUAUAAAUUGUCAUGAAAUACGAGCUAUUGCUAAUAUAAGUAGCCUAUGUUACAUAUUUAAUUCAAGAAGCAAAAUUAAUUCCCAAAUUUGGUGGGCCUCUUGGCCCAUUUUCGCCUGCACCUGUUGUGCAAAAGAUGGGCUUUGGCCCAGUUCCUCCCCCUGAAAAUCUGCAUAUACAAUAAGUAUAUACUCAUGUAUAUAGACUAUAUUUUAGCCUGUUUUCUAUAUAUCGGACUGUACACAGACUGUAUGCAGCCUAAUUCAGCUUCCAAGCACCUGUUUUAAUUUUUUGGACCUGUAUAUAUAUUGCACUCAACCUGUAUAUCAGUGUAUACUUAGUGUAUACAGUCCAUUUUCGGACUUCCCGAAACUUGUGAUCAAUUUCCAGCCCUCCCUAGGCCUAUUCCAAUGACCAGGCUGACUCAAUGAUAAAGAAUAUUUGAGCCUCUAUGGCUCAACUCGAGAAUGCAAGAGAGAAGUUCACCAUGGACUCGGAAGGGAUUCAUACGACAAAGAAAGGAGCCAAAUUAGUAUGUGAAAUAAGUAAGCAAUUAGGACAUAACUUAAUUAGAAUGAAAGUAACUUAAAUAUUUUUUAGCUAAAAAUGUCAGCCAAGUCACUAUUAGACCAAAUUGAGACCCAAAUGUCAUAAAUUUCAAUACAAGAUUGGAGGCUAUAAAACUAAUAUUAAACUAAUGAGAAAUCAUACACAAGGAAAUUCCAAGGGGCAUGCUUGUGUACAUAUGUGACAAUAAAAUCUAUAAGCAAUAACUAACACAACCCAAAAAUACAUAAAGACACGUGUUGCACAUUUGACUAAUAUCAUCUCAUAUAAUAAACGACACUAGAUUUAUCUAUGGGGACUUUUAAAGCUACCAUUUUUGUUAUACUAAAGAGUCAAAAAUUGGAGGCAGUAGCCAACUAACUCAUUAUAAGCAAAGGAAGAAAAUAACUACAAUCAAAUAACUAAACUAGGCAACAUAAGCAAACAUGUUAAACAAUGGCAUAAUAUAAAACAAUGUCCAUAGCACUGAGUUAAAUCGUCACAUUAUAAUGGUAGAGUUAAACAAUGGCAUAAUAUAAAACAAAAUCUUUACAAUUUCUUUCUUCUUUUUAAAGCCAAAUAGUGGAAGAGAUUUGAAAAUCCCUAAAAGGGGGGAAAAGGGAACAACGAUGUGAUCGAUUAGGUUGCUAGGGUUAUGGGUUUGCAGAUGGGUCACGUACCGGUUUCUUCUCAAAGAAGUUGGGUUGAAUUAGUAUUGGAUAUUGCUGUAUGUAAUGUUGCUGAAAAAUUGGGCUUUUGGGUAUGAAACUAAUUGGGCUGGAAAAUUGAAAGAUGUUGGGUCACUUUUUGGUAUUGCUGACGGGUCUUGAGAAUGGAGUGGAAUUUGGGCCAAAUCAAGGAGCAAAGUAUUGGGAAAAUAACCAAAUGGAUUGCAAACUUGGCCAAUUAGCCAUAUGAGUUUAAUUGGUGAUUCGGCUAAAAACUAAAUAAAACGAAUUAAUAUAAAUUAAUUAAUGAGCUUCUUAAUGUCAACGAAAUAAAAUAAUUAUCUUAAUUAUAAACUAUUAUAUAACUAAACUAAUUAACCAAAUAUUUAAUUAAAACUAAAAUCUUUUUUUGAGAAUAUUUCCGAAUAUUCACAAAAAUGUACUAAUUAUAUACGAAAUUAUGCAAAAACAUAUAUUUUAUUUAAAAAUUUAUAAAAAAAAGUGACAAAUAUAUUUAAAAUAACUUACAAACUAUAUUAUUUUAUUUUUUUGAAAUUUUAUAAAACUAAUUAUUUUAAAUCGUUUGAAAUUGAAGAAGCGCGAUGAUUGAUUUAUAUUGUGGAGGUCUAAAAUUGGGUGUCAACAGACCUAAUAAUCAAAUACCUCUAGGAAAAUUCUCUUUCAUUGUGUCAAUUUUGUGAUGUGAUCUUUACGUUUUAGGCUAAAAUCAUACUUCAAGUAUAGCCCAAAUUUAUGGUACAUCCUUGUGGUAUAAUUGUAAACAAAAAGCAUCCUUUAACUAUUCUAAACGUUGCAAUAAACAUCCUUAUGUUAACUUUUGUUAAAAAACUAACAGGUGAAAUAAAAAUAUGUGUCAAGCAUGUGAUUUUCCCAAAUCCCUAUAUUCGGUCGAAUUGAUUUUCUCUCAAUUAGAUGGCAAUGAGACUUGGAAAUUUAUAUGCAAUAUGCCUGCAAUCUCUUUCAGACCUCUUAUCAAAUAAGUAGAGGGCAAUUUACAUUGCCAUAGCAGAUCUUGAACAUGGUUAUUUCUAUUUGCCCUUUAUAAAUACAAUACUUCUUUCAAGACCAUAAAGACAGACAAGAAUAAAAACUAGCAUCCUAACCUUUCAUAAAGUACAAAACUCUUUCGCUUGGAACUAAUUAUUUUUCUGCCCGAAAGCAUAAAUAAAGUCGAACUAUUGUGCAUUAUCGUUCCUGGAGGAUGAAGAUGAUCAAUCCACUAAAUAUGGAGAUUUGGGGGAAUUCAUGUGCUUUACAUAUGAUUUUUAUUUCAGCUGUUAGUUUUUUAACAAAAGGAUGUUUGCCGCAAAGUUUAGGAUAGUUAAAGGAUGUUUUUGUUCACAAUAAUACCUUAUCCUAAGUUUGGGCUAUACUUCAGGGAUGAUUUUAGCCCAAAACACCAAAUAGUUGAUCGGAUUCACUGUUUACGCAAAUAUUAUACUUGAACACAAUAUGGGAUUAUAAGCACAAACUCACUAUCCAACCUUCUUGGUUUACUAGAAAUUUAACAUGUAUGCUUGCACUCUAGAAGCUAACAAGACUAGAAGAAAAGAGACCUUUUCUCUUGCCGUUUAUACACAAACAUGUACAUCUACUACAAACUUUAGAUGUCAAUUAUCUCAACAUGCAAUAAGCACCAACAAUUUUUUCAACAAAAUCUGAUAAUUGUCUCAAAAUUUUCAAUAAAUUUGAUGGUAACAAGUAAAAACAGAAAAAGGUCGGUUACAACGAGCCAACAAACAGCAAAACCAAAGUUUUCAUCCUUGUCAACAUGACGAAACCAAGAACUUUUCCACCAACAUUCUUUCUCCUAGCCUCUUCAUGGUCCAUGAUUCCAGCUGAGGUAGUCAGUACAAUGUAUCCGAACUGCAAGUAUACGUAAAGAUCAGACCAUAGAAAUAGAUAAUAUACAGAAUAACAAGUACGACUUUUACUCCAUCUGUGAUCGCAGAAAAUGCCUGCAAUUUCAUUUGCUUAGUAUCAAGUAUGAAAGAUAACAAUAUUAUAUACCUUAGAAAGGAUUUUUCAAUUGAUAUUAUUGUCAGAUAGAAGCACAAACGCCACAUGAACUUUCUCAAAUGGUACUCCUACACUAACCUAAGCACAAAAGAACAUUAGAACCUGAAACUAAGAGAAUUAUUCCUGAAGAAUAUCACAGAUGAAACAGAAAAGACUCCAAAAUAAAUGUUAACAUACACAUUAGAAGACCUAAGCACAAAAGAACAUUAGAACCUGUCUAAAUUGUUUCACUUCUUCGACAGUUCAACUCCUAAUUGGUUCUUCAUGUCUACAGACAGACAAGCCUCAGAAGAAAAAAGUUGAGUCAAAAGCUGAAGGGGUCAAUUAUUGUAAUUUUUUAUGACAAAAAUUACAAUAAUUAACCCUAUGACGACCUUCAGCUUUCUAUUAGAGAUUACAGCUUUUAAAAUAAUUAUUUUAAUUGUUCAACUGUUAUCUUUCCUUAGUUGGUUUAGGGACUUCCUACUCCUGGAUAACACUUUAUUUCUAGCAUUUAUUCAUCACAUAAUCCACGUCUACAAAAUUCAAAACACAAAAUUGUAGUGAAGUAGCUCAUCUAGAUGCAGCCACUGCCAACUUUGAACCCCAAUCAGAUCAACAAUAUGUUUGCUUUCAUACUAUGGUCCUAUAUCAGAAUUUUAAUUCAAUGGAGGAUAGGGAUCACAAAUCCACAUCUUAUAUUAUAAUUGCUGAGUCAGUGUGACAAGAAUUUUCAAAAGAAAAAACUCAAGGCCUGAAAGAUUUAUGAAUCAACUCUAGUAUUCAGAAAAUAUUUCCACUCAGAGGAGCUUGGGUUAGUUCAGCACGGCCCUUAGUGGCUUGACCUACAAAUAGAAACACUGGCCAAUUAUUCUUGGAAGGAUUAUCAUAAAUCUUAAGCUUGUGAUUGGAUCCCCUAGCUCAACAAUCCCUCCCAACCUACUUAUUGAACCUCUAACAUAACAGUUGAGGGAGAUAUACCUCACGGGGCUUGGGAUUGCCACCUAUAAUUUGUUGCCUUACUUGGCUAGUGGUUUAGUGAAAAAUUGGGAUAACACAAGAAGCAGUUGAAUAGUAAUCUUCAUCCCUGAUGGAUAAUUACAAAAUCAUAACAUGCGCUUCACUAACCUCCGGCAAGGCUGCAACUGGCUUCUUGUAAAGCAAGAAUAGAUUCAAUAUAAUGUUGUAAGAAGCAUGUCCCUGUAGUUGUUUCUCUAGGAAGGGCCGGCCACCUGCAAAUAAUUAGAAUGAGUUGUCAGAAGAUCUCAAUCCUAUGCAGCCACAAAUCCUUACAUUAGUAGUUACAUGGUGAAAUGAAAAACCAAAACUAUCAAUCAAGUCGCAAAAGAUUCUGCACAUUUUGGCUAAUGAAGACAAAAGUUAAAACAAUUUCUAAACCAACCACAUGAAAGCUUUUAUGUGCUCUACCUUUAUUCCAUUGUACCCAAGACCCGAUCUCAUGUUCGCGGUUUAUGCAAGCUCCGAUAGGGAGAAGAAAUAUAUUUGCCUGAAUAUAUUUCUUCUCCCUCCUUCUUUCACUAUCUUCAAUUUCCCCUUCACCGUUUCUGAAAACUUCGAACCCAAUUUCACUGUAACAAAAAAAAUCGAAUUGUUUUGAUGUAAAGAAGCAGAAAAGGAAAAUUUAGUUUAAAAAAAGUACAACAAACAAAUUGAAAUGGAAAGUAAAUACUAGAUGCAGUACGUACCAUGCUCACGAAUUCUAUAUGCAUAACUUUUUGCCUUCUUCCCCAAUUUCCUCUUCUGAAUAAUUACAGCUGAAUCAUCCUGACCUGCAAUUAUUGUAUCGAGUUUAGAUAAUUUAAUUUUAUAUUUCUACUACUGGAUCUAAACCGAAUGAAAGAAACGGAUCCUCGCUGUUCCACAAAUUGAUAACUCAUAAAUUUAAAAUCAUGUAUGCAGCUCUAACGAGCGCAAUGAAAUUUGAACAUACUUGGAGUAAUUCUGGGUGAGUAAUCUGAAGAAGACGGGCUGUGAAGAGCGCUAGCAGCAGAUUCAGAAUCUUGAGAAAAAGAAGAAUGUCUUUCUGGAGUUUAGAAAUUGUUUAUAGAAGUUUGAUUGGUAGUUUGUUGUAUUUGACAGCAAUAAGACCCGAUCUCAUGUUCGCGGUUUAUGCAAGCUCCAAGUCAAGUUCAUCUUGGUGUUGCUAAACGAACGUUGAUUAUGGUAUUUGGUUUAAAAGGGAAAAGCUAGGGCAGCUGAUGGGAUAGUGAUUGGGCAGGAAGCGUUGAUGAUAUGAAUUGCACUUCUGGAUAUGCUUUUACACUUGGUUCAGGCAUGUCCUCGUGGAAUUCAAAGAAACAAGAGGUGGUAGCUCAAUCUUCUGCUGGUGCAACUAAUCAGGCUCUAUGGUUAAGAAAAAGAUUCUACGUGAUCUGGAGUAAAAUGACAUUGAAUCUACUGUCAUUAAGGUUGACAACAAGUCAGCAAUACCUAUGGCCAAAAAAUCUAGUACAACAUGGUCGUAGCAAGCAUAUAAAUGUGAAGUUAUAUCUAAAUUGAAUUUUGUCCAUUAAUUUUUUUUCAGAGCUUUAAUUAGAAAAAUAAAUUAUUAUUUAAUAUCACUUUAAACUUUCAUUGUAUCUUAAUCAUAUUUUUGUUUAAUCUUAUUCUCUCCGUUUUUCAAAAAUUAAAAUGAUAAUACAUAUUUUUUUAAAAUCCGUAUACAACACUACAAGCAAUAACUUUUUUUGGCAUAACAUCUACUAAGUGACUUAUAAUUUAUUUAUUUUUCAAAAUUUAUGUAGGUACACAAAAUUUGGAUAUCAAGAAUUAGACAUUUGCUUUUGCCAUAUUUAUACAUAAAGAAGGGUACACACUCUUAUUAUAUUAUCUGUAUAACAAAUGCAUGGGUGAUCCAAGAGAUUAAUAUAUAUAAUCAUUAUUAUUUAUUUCAUUUUUUAAAUUCUUUAAUUCAAAUUCUAAUCUCUACAUUAUUUUUAAUGCUUGUGUCGUUGAAUUCAAAAAGUGAAAUUCUAUUGUUUAGAAGAUCCUUAGAGUAUAAAAGCAAUACAAGAGGUAUGUAUUCAUAAUUAUUUUUUGAGAAUUUAACAAGUUUGUCACUUUAUUAAUUCAUGUCUCUUUUUGUAUAGAUUUACAAUCUUAGCAUAAAAUAAAUUAGUAUGAUCACAAAUCUAAUACAAAAAUUUAGCAAAUAUGAUUUUAGUUAAUUAAAAAAAUACAUGCAAAUGAUCUCAAUUUUUUGUUGAAGUUAUCUAAGAUUCUAUGUUAUCUUGGUAGAGGUUAAAAGAUAAACUAUGGGAUGUAACAGAAUUAAUGUAAUGCAUUUUGGGUAGAAAUAGAAUAGAUGUAAACUCUAUUUUUAUGAAAAUAAGAAACAAUUAUUAUAUGUAUAUUGUGAAAUCAUGAAAUACUCGACUUUCUUUUGAUUACACAUAUGUAUUCAAGGCUCAUAUCAACAAGAGGUUUAAGAUGUCAAAUCUUCAAAAAUGCUUUGUCAGAAAGGUAAAGACUAAAUAACCCCAAUCUUUCAUACAUAUAGAUUUUUUUGAUUAAUUUAUUUGACCAAUAAUAUAAAGUUAAUAAAUAAUAUUAAAGAAUUGAAAUAAUAGAUAACGUGAUAACGAUAUGCAAAAACUAUUUGUUUUAUAAUAUUCAAAGUAUAAGCACAUGACGUUACAAAAAUAUUAUUAUAAUUAGUAAAGAUAAUGAUAAAUUUAGAAAAACAAAUUUUAAAUAAGUAUUAUUCCAUUCCAAGUGGCAGUCUAAUACCAAGGCACUUGAUAGUUUAGAACAAGACUAAAACAAAAAAUAAUAAUUUAUAAUUAAAAAUUCAUUUAAAAAUGUCAUGACAAAAAAAGAAAGAAGAAGAAAACGUUAAUAAAUGGUUAGUUAAAAUGCAUAUGUAAAAUUAAAAAAAGAAAAAAGAUAAAUAUCGAGAAAAAUAAACUAAUCUAAAUUAUCCCUAAAAUUUCUCACCCAUUUACCUAUAUCUGCGUGUGUCAGAAAAAUCAACAUAAAUAUUUUUGAAUUAUCUUUUUUUACAAGAAUAAAUUUAAAAUAUUAUGAAUCCGUAUUUUAAAAAUAGUGCCACAUGUUAUCUCGACUUUUCAGUUUGAAUAUUUAAAAAAAAAAUUAUCUUCAAAACAAAUAAUUUUAUAAAUAAUUAUGUAAAAAUUUGUCAAAUAAAAUUAUAAAAAACACCAACGGAAAGUUAUAUAUUAUUAAUAAUUUGCAUAUUUUCUAAAGAAAUAAAUUUAUUAAUUAAAAAAAUACUAAAAAUUUUCAACAAAUGUUUUUUUUAAAAAUCUACAUCGAUAAUAAUUUGAAAAUUAAAAUAUAUUAAACAAAAAUAACGUUAUGGACAAAAAUUAAUAAUGUCAAACACAAUUGAUUUAAUCAAAAUAAAAGAAACAAAAGAUAUAUUUCAAAUUUUGUUUUGCUUCUUUAAUAGAAAAAAUAGAACAUUACUAAAAAAAAUGGAGCAAUUUUAAUUUUGAUUUACGAUAAUUAAAUCAUAGGAGAAGACUUAAAAAUUUUACUCUCAAUUUUUUCAUUUACUCUCUCUGCAAAUAAUUAAAUUCUUGCUCAUAUAAUUCUCUAUCUCAAAUUUUUUGGUUUAUAUAAUAUGCAUUAUUUUUAUUUUUUGUAGUGCCUAAAUUUUUCAUAUUUCUUGAUACUAACUAUGCAUAUGAAGAUGUUGAACACUGCAUUUAUUAUAUAGAAACGUGUGAAUAAUAAAAUCUAAAAAUAUUAAUAAGUGAAUAAUAAAAUUUAUAUAAUAAUUUUAAUUUUAAAAUUAUGAUAUUUAAAAAUAUCCGUGCAACGCGCGGGUACGAAUACUAGUUAAGUUGAAAAGAAAAAGAAAAGAACUAUCCAAGUCCACAGAACCCCUUGUGUGUCCUUAAUAAAACGGAUUAACCAUUAAAAAAGUAGCAGUAACUCUAACUUCGAUAAUUUCAUCGAACUCAAAAAGACAACACACAUAUCACACGAUCGAUCGAUUUUAUUUUGUAAGAAAUGUAUGCAAAAGAAGGGAAGAAUUUUAUUUUGAAAAAUGAGAGAAAGUCUCUCUAUUUAUAGUCAACAAAGGGUAAAAGUCACAACUCUUUGGGGAAAAAAUAACAUUUCACGACCUUUUGAAAAAGGCACAACCUUUGAAACGGUCGCAACCCUUUAGAAAAGACACAACCUUUCAUAAAGGUCACAACCCUUCAAGUAUUGAAUCACCCAAAAUAAAUUGUGAUUGCAAGAAGUAAUAUAAUAGUUUCUUAAUUUUGUAUCACAUCAAUUAAAUACAAGUAGUUGGUGCAUCUUAGCAAUUACCAGCACCCCCAAACAAAAAAUAAUAAUCCCAGUAACUAUCUCGAGCAUUAUGCUCACUUCCUUCAUAGUAACAUCUAGAUUGAUGAGUUUGAACCAACGAUUCAUUUGGUUGAACAUUUUGAUUAUCGCCCACUCCAUACAGGACUUGACGCAUAUAACAAGUGUAGUGUGGAUCGCCACCAUUAAAUUUACUAUUUCCCAUGGGUGGACUUGGUUCACCCGCUGGUGUAUACACCUGUCCUCCAUAUCGUAUUGUCUGCGAUCCAUUUCUUAAUUCAUUGAAAAUGGUCUCCGGCCAAAAUCCAAUAACAAACAUAUAACGCAAGAAAAGAUAAUAGUCUGCAAAAAUAAAUAACACCAGAGUUACAACAACAUACUUGUUGAUACUGACAUUAAUAUUCCAAAGUAUUACAACAACUAUCGUAAUUUUAUUUACCUUCAUCCUUGUAGAUCUGAAAUUGCAUGUCAUAGUCACCAUAAAAUGGCCUAGAGAUUUGUGGGAAAGCAUAAUCUAUUGGUACUUCAUUAUCAAGUUGAACAAAUCCUGGACAAAUAUUGUUGUAACAUCCUGUUUUUUGGUUGCCAUCUGUCUAUUUAAUUCAAACAAAAUGAAAUUUACUUAUUCUACAUGCUUUUGAAUUAUUUCUUUUAGAAAAAUAUCAAUUAAUUUCUAAUAUACUUACUGUCCAAUGGGAGUAUAACCGAGUCCGGUUAUCACCGUAUAGUUUUGGAUGUACCUAAACCAAACAAACAUCAUGACUUUAGGAAAUCGAAUCGUCAAAAAAUACUUAAUAGGUUCAAAUCAUUGAUUUGAUAUAAAAACUUACAAUCCAUCCGGCUUGUAUUUGCUCAAAAUUCGUCGCGUUAUCCGCACUUUGAAGAAAUAAUGUUGCGGAACUAUAUUGGCCAAGUCCAUUUAGUUGUGGAUUAUACAAAGUAACAGUGGCUGAGACACUUGUAAAACUUUUUAUUUCUGGAGAUGCGUUUACGCUAAUUCCUGCAAACUGAAGUAUAGUAUUACAUUAAAUUAAUUAAAAUAACUAUUUGAAAUUGAAUUUUUUGACUAUUAAUGAUAAAUUUUAAUAAUUAAAUAAGUAGUUACAUCGAUGAUAUCUUCAGUGAGGGAUUCAUUUGCCAUGCUUAAGGAGGCAUCUUUUGCGCUUUGGAGUUGUUCUUGUGUCAUUCGUCGUAUAGGGACCGUUCCAAUCGGACAACCUUUUUUGUUCAACCAGAACUCUUCUGCUUUAAAAUAAAUAUUUUCAUCCUUUUGUAAUCGCUUGACUUUAACUGAUCUUUGUUUUUCUAGCUCCUUAGCAAUUGUUCUCUGUUGUUCCGAAAAUCCACAUGCGUGCAGAAAAAAAGAAAGAAUUUUAAAGAAACUACAAGUAAGAUAUUACUGAAAAUAAAUAUAUGUAAGGGUAAUAUUUUACUAGUCAUUUUGUGACAGUUGCAUCUCUUUUCUGUCUUUUCAUUAUUUUGAACAAGAAUCAAUGACAAGGAUAGAGUUAUAGUCAGCAAAAAGUGAUCAUUCAAUAUUUUUUCAAAAGGUUACACUACAUAUACUAUAUAUUAAACAUUAAUUUUAUACCUAAUUAUAUAUAAAAAUCUUCAACAUUCUUAACAAGAUUCAUGGCAUCACUAAUUAAUUUGAUGUUUAUAAGAAAUAGUUAAACGCUAGUUUAUUAAGAAUCUGAUUUUAAUUAUGAAUUAAUUAUAUCUUAAGGAAAUAGAUUUUGGGGUUAACUCAACUCAAUAAUAAGAUAAUUAACUUGGAUCUAUAACUUGAACUCUUAACAAAAAUUAGUAACAUUUUGGGAAGACACCUUAUGUGAAUUACUAGUACUAGAUUUUUCUUUCAAAUUGUUAAAAAAAUUGUAUAAAUUAUUAUUUAAAAUUCAGUAAAACUAUCAAAAUUCAUAAAUCCAUAAGUUUAAAAACUUGAUCCCAUCUUUGAUAAAAAUACAAAACAUCACAAACAACAGUAUUGUGUGCUAUCAACUUUUGUUUCUCAAAAGAAAAGAAAAAGUCAGUUAAGUUGUAUGAGUAUAAAUAAUGCACCUUGAUUCUUUCUUUGUGUGGUAUCGGGUGCAAAAGAGUUGGUUGUUUAUAAAUAUCCACACAAUCAUAAAAAUCUCCGUGAAUAGUCUGCAAACAUAAAUUAAUUUCACUACAAAUUAUUCAUUAAGAAAUGACAUAUAAACUUUGCUAUAAAAGAUAUGAAAACUAUACCUCAACGACGAGAUCUGCAUUUUGGCUAGACCCAUAACCUUUAGCCAAACAAAAAGCAAUGGUGGUCCAAACUAAAAUAAUGAAGCAUAUAGUUGUAAAUAUCAACGCCAUCUUUGUUUUUCAUUAUCUUUAUGAAAUAACGUGUAUAUAUAUAGUGCAAAAGAAAUGGUUAUUUAGGCAAACAUGGUAUGCAAUCUGAUUAUCUAAUUAAAUGAUGGAUAAUAUUCAAAUAUAAUUAAUAAUAUUUAUUCCAAAUUUAGUCAUUGCAAAAAUAUUCUCCAAAUUAAUUAGUAUCCACUGACAGUGGACAACAAAAUUAUGCUAUCGGUUUAUUUUUAGAAAAAUUAUUGAGUAUUUUCAUAUAUUAUUAGUAUUUUAAUAAUAAUAACAAAAAACAUAUUAUGAUUAGGAUUCCAAUUUUAAAAGAUUUGAUUUAAAUGCCUUUAAUAUUCAAAUACAAUGAAUAAUAUUAAUACCAAAUUUAGCCAUUGCACAAACAUUCUCCAAAUUAACUAGUAUCACUAAUAGUAGACGAUAAAAUUCACUAUCAAUUUAUUUUUAGAAAUAUUAUAAAGUAUUUUCAUAUAUUAUUAAUAUUUAAAUGAAAAUAAUAAAAAUAUAUAAUGCUUUUUUGUUAUUUUUAUUUAAAUAUUAAUAAUAUGUGAAAAUACUUCAUAAUAUUUCUAAAAUUAAACAGACCGUGUAAUUUUGUAAUCUGCUUGUCCAUCGAUACUAAUUAAUUUUUUUCUUUUUGGUACAUUCCUUUGUUAUUCAUAUCCUAGUAUAUAUCUCUAAUGUAUAAUGUUCAAAUCUAUAACGGUGAAUCGGAUCUUUCCUUAUUUGGUUGUCUACCUAAUUAUUUAGGUCUCAAUCGACACCAUUUUUAUAGCUUACUUUAUAUAUCAAUUAUUAAAUAAAAUUUAAGUAUGAUAUACAUAAUUGAUUUAUCCUUCAUAAUAUUUAGAAUAUGUAUAACUGUAAAUGUUGUCCUUCAUAAAUGUUAAUGUAUAUCUAUAAUAAAUUUAUAUAAAUAAUUAGUAUAUAUCAACUAUUUAACAAAAUUUAAGUAUAAUAUACAUAAAUUACUAGGGGUGUACAUGACCGGGUUGGUUUGGAUUUUUCAACUAUCAAACCAAACCAUUUGUGUAAAAAAAUUUAAAUUUAUAAACCAAACCAAACUAAUAAAAUUCGGGUUUUUUCGGGUUUUUCAACCUCGGGUUGGUUCGGAUUUUUUUAGAUUUUUGGAUUUUUUCGCAUACAAACAUAUAAUUACAUAUAAUUAACUUGUGCUCCAAAUAUUUCUUUAGUCCAACCAAAAUACAAUUAUCUAAGGUGUUUCUUAAGAAAAUAACACAAAAUAUGUAUUUUAAUUGUCUAAACCAAUGUAAAACUAAAGAACAAAUAUUCAAUAUUAUUGUCAUUCUUAGUGUUGAAUUGAUUUUCUUUUUGCAUUAGUAUUAAUUUGAUUUUGAUUUAAGUUUUAUUAUAAUUAUCAACAUCUAUGAACUAUAAUCUUUAUUGGACUAUUCCGAAUUCUAAGUUUUAAAUUUGAAGUAAUAUAUUAAAAGAUAAAAACUAUGAAAUAGUAUAAGAAAUAUUUUAAAAUUAUAUCAAUGUAAAUAUUUUUAUGUAUAAAAUAAAAAUUUAAAAUUACAUAUAUAAUGUUGAGUUGGUUUGAUCUCGAGUUGGUUAUUUAGUUAAAACCAAACCAACCCAAAUAUAGUCGGGUUUUUUUUUUCAAUACCAAACCACUAGUCGGGCUUUUUGUUCGGUUUGACUCGGUUUACGGUUUGGUUCGGUUUUCGGUUCGGUUUUGUACACCCCUAUAAAUUACUUUGUCCUUCAAAAUGUAUUCCUUCCUACGGAAUAUCAAAAGGUAAAAACUUACGCAUACUUGGUGUAUACAUCAAAUUAAUACAGUUUUUAUGGCUACGUGAUUUAAUGAAGUAAAAUGCAUGUUAAUUAAUUAAGAUUAAGUAAAAUAAAUUAUAAAUUCAAACACAUAUCAUGUAUGUAUUGGGUUGACGUAUACCAUAACAAACCCAAAUUGCUCAUUAUAUUGAUAAGAGAACUGAAACGCGAUUACAACUUUAGAAUCGUAAUUGCAAUAGCCAAACUACUGAAUUACAAUGGAAAUAUGAAAAUAACAAGUAACUAAGAUAGAGAUAAGAAUUGAGAUGUGAAGCUUAAUUAGACUCUAGAAGAAGAAGAGAGGAACAAACGUUUUUCUUCAAUAUGCAUAAUCCUUAUGUGUUAACUCCAAGACCUAUUUAACCAAUUGAUAAUUGGGCCUGGAUCCCAAAUAAAACUCUCCAACAUUUUAAUCAGCCCGAUAAUCUUAAAUGGACCCGUCUCAUUCACCCCUUUCAGGACAUAGGCCCUUAUGUAGUUAGUUUCGUUCACAACAAUACUCCCGCCCUCAAUGAGAACCUUGUCCUCAAGGUUCGACUCAAGGAAUGAAAAAUAUUUAUGAAUAUCCACCCACAUAGUGAGACUAAUCUAGCAAGCGCUACCAAGUAUCCAUGAGUACCCAUUUCCUUAAGUAGUAACAAAUCUUUAAAUUGUAACUCAAAGAAAGUAAUAUAAGUGUUACACUGGAAAACACUGCAUCAUGUUGCCUGUAGACACUAAGUCCAAAAUGAAUCCACCAAUUGCAAAACACUUGAUAUGAAUUGCCUUUUCAAAAUGGAAGCAUAAGGGAGUGGUUGCAAUAAAGGCUUCAGGAAGCAAGGAUUCUUUGAAUUUUUCAAUCCUCUCAAAAGCAACAAUCAAAUUGAUAUCAAGUAACUAAUUAACGAGAGUCGUGGAAUUGAUAAACUUACCACUAUACAGUAGAGUAGAACUAAUAAGAUUUCUUGUCGAUGAGUCAUAGAAACUUGCUUUAACCUGAUCCAUAUAUAUAGCCUCAAGAUUGGUGUAGAUAUCAGCAAGUGAUACCAUGAAAGAUGAAAGAUGUGACCUGAAUCAAAGUUGAAAUCUUCAGUACAACAGCAUCAUAAUAUUCCAAUUUCAACUCCACCAGCACACACCCUUUCAUACAACUGUGUAGUGUAACCUGUACGUCUUUUACAAUUCACAUGCAUUUGAUGUUGUAUGUAAAGGUUCAUUAUCAAUAGACGGACAACUAAAAUCAUCCUGCCAGUUGGCCACAGAAUUACAAAAGGGAACAAUCCAUAGUAUGACGACAUCAUAUUCUAAAUGGGAACUCCUCAUAUAUAUGACAACAAAUUACACAAGUGGAAAGUCUAUUGCAAUCGUCCAAAGUGAUACCAAUUUGCACAAAAUAUGAAACUCUGCACCUGGAUAUUUAAUUAGUGUUGUUACAGCGCCCUUCUCCACAAUUUUUUUGUCUCCAAAAGUAGAGUCUAUUGCAAAGAUAUAAGGACCGGGAUCGAGGACAAUAUUCCUGUUCCCAAUGUAGUGCUCUAGAAAUCACUCUGAUUUCUGCUAAUCAGAGUUGGUAGAAUUAACAACUUUUGAGAAUUAUCUUUGAUCUCUUCGUCAGAAGGAAGUAGAAUCAGAGGAAUUGUUAGUAUCCUCAUGCAUCAAUCACAGUAUCUAUGCAGGAUAUAUAGCUCAUUGAAGUAUCUAACAACAGCUUUUGAGACUUGUCUGUUGCCUUUUAUCCAAGAUUGAAUUGAUUUUCAUCCAUGAUCUUGUUAAUCCUUAAUGUGAAAGUAGGCAGUAUUAGAGUCUCCCUCAUGUGAAAGUAGGCAGUUUUCUGUUUUAACAACACCUUAUCUUGUGCAUCUCUAUUAUUACACCAAGUAUGUAUAUAUUCCCAGCAUGAAGAUUUGUGAUACAAACAAGUUUGUUAUUUUAUAUGCAAUUAUGUAUCAUGUAUAUAAUAAUUAUUUUGCAAAUUUGUAGUGAUGUGUACCAUACUUAUCGGAUACAAAUUUUUCUGAAGUACUACCUAUAUUGAACACAAAAUUAAAAGCGAAAAUAAACAAUUUUAAACUUAAGAACUCUUCAAAUUUAGAAGUAUUAUGUUAAAAGGGUAAUAAAUACUCCAAAACACUAAUUACUGUAUCUUAAAAAACAAAUAAACAUCAACACCUGUCUGUGAACAGGAACAUGGAAAACUAGUCUACAUUAACAAGUUCAUUUUCUGCGGCUGGAGUUAAGUCACACUUCAGCCUUAUAGGGUCAUCAUUAUCGCUAACAUAUCCCGCCUUAGCCUUGUUGAGACCAUACUUCCAUAACAGUGUUGCGUAUCUUUUGCAAAGAUAUUCACCUCGAAAACCAUUAUAUGAAUGUUGAUUUUGUCGCUCAAGAAUUCAGCAAAUACAGCUAAGAACAUUCCGCACUCACUACAAAAAAUAAGAAGAUUAAUUAUAAAAAUGAAUUAGAUACAAAAAUUAAAGAAAGAGUGAUACAAUACUAGCAGGCUAUCACAUUUGGGAUCUGACCUUGGUAGUUGCAUUUGAGAAUAUUCAAAUAUGGAUCAAAUAUAGUAUCCUUGAAUAAUUGAAUACCUUCAUCCCCUAUUGACAACACUAAGUCUUGAAUGAAAUUUAUAUUGUGAGUAGGGCAAAACUUAAGGGAGUGUUUUGGAAUCUGUUUAAUUAUAUAAUUUAUAUUCUGCAAUUCAAAAAAAUGAUGUUGAUCACUAAAAAAGGAUCCAGAUGAUACAUACAAAUCUGAAUGAGAAUGAUUUUGAACUAAAAUAUGAAUAAAAAUAUAAACUUGUAUCUGAUACAUAAUUCUAACUACACAUUAUCUUUCACUCAAAUUGAUACUUAAUAGUAACAAAAACUUUGAAGAUGAUACAUUAUGUUGUUCUACAACUUACACAGGGCCGGCUCUUGCCUAUAAUAUUUUAGGCAUUGGCCUUAGGCCCCCAAUUUUUGGGGGCCUCAAUUUUUUAUAAAUAAAAAAUUAUGUUUCUUAACCCUAUUCAAAUAGAAGAAAUUAAGAAAACAUUAUUUUGGAUUCUUACAUUUUCUUCGUUAACACUCACAUUAUUUAUUCUUUGUAACUCUUUUUGCACUCUAUUUCUUCAAAUCUUUGAUAGUUAGAGUAAUACACUCUCAAAAAUAUGAAUCAAUAGUCGAAAAGUGUUGAACAAAGUGCAUUACAAAUUCUUUUUUUUAAUUUAUUUGUUAAUUUUCAUAUUAAAGUAGGUAUACCAAGUUAUCAACUUUUUGAAUCAGAUUCUAUGAUUCUAACUCUUAUCUUUAAAGUUUAUCAACUUAUUACUUAUAAAAUUGUGUUAAUAAUUCAUAUAAUAAUUGUCUCAAUAAAAGGAUGUUUUUCAAUGUUGAAUUGAUAAAAUCUUACUUAAAACUAAUAAUUAAAAAAAAGUGUUUGAAAAAUCAUUUAUAUAAAAGAUAUUAAGUAGUAAUUUACAUCUAGAAAUUUAGAAAAAUAAAUAGAUAUAGAUAAAAUUUAUAUAGAUUUUAGGCCUCUAAUAAAAAUUUCGCUUUAGGCCACAAAUUAUGUUGAGCCGCCCCUGAACUUACAUGUAAUCCUCUAAUUUGAGCUUUAAUCUUUCAUAAAUUUAUCAUAACAAAAAAAUGACCAAAAAUGAAAUUUUAUUUAUAAAAAUGAUUAAUUGAUACUCAAUACCAAUAUAUUUGAUAGAUUAAUCAUAAAUAUCAACCAUUCUAUCUCAUUAUUUGAAUUUUAACUUUUUGAUACAUUAGUCGUUAUAAAUCAACAAUAUGUACCAAAUAUUAGGAUUUUUGUGUUAGAAAAUUAGAUUUCAACCAAUAUACAUAAUAAUUUUUUUUAACAAUAAUGUAUCUACUAUAAAGCAAAUAAGAACAUGUGAAUACAGAAUAUUAAAAAUAAAGACAAAAAGUAUUAAAAUACAAACAGUGGGUAGUGCAGGUCGGGAUAUGGUUGGGGCAACCUUUCUAUCCCUUUUCUUUGGUGUUUUUGCCACUUUUGCUUCCGAUGAUGCAUGUACCUCCUUUUUAGUUUUCUCCUUCUUUGAACUUUGCUUAGCCAUUGUUAGAGGAUCAUGCAACCUCUUAGACCUGUUUUCUGUCCAGUUGUAAUCUUCAUAAUCAAAGAUUCGAUUAGUGUUGGGCGUGACUAUUUGGGUAAUCCCAAUACUAAAAGAAGGAGGAUUCAUAAAGUAUCAGAAAAUCGAAGAAAAAAACUAAGAAGAAAUUUGAAGAGGAAGAGACUACCUAUUAUAAACUCUGAAAUUGGUUGAAUGGAGAGAGAAAUCGUCUGAAAUUCAAAAUUGAAAGAAUGUGAUAAUUGAAAUGAAUCUGGGGAGAAAAUGGGGGAGUAAAUUUAGGAGUGGGAAACGUUAGUUGGGUGUUCUUGAACAAUAAUAAAUCUGUGGAGAAAUUAGAGGAGUAAAUUUAGGGGUGGGAAGCGUAGGUUGGGACUUCUUCAAGAAUAAUGUAUCCGGAGGUUUUGUUUUGUGGGAGAAAUAGGGAUUUUUGUAUUUUUUUGAAAUAGUUGGGAAAUAUAGAGAAUAUGUUAACUAAGUGUGUGUAUUCUAGUAAUUUAUCCAUAAAAGUAAACUCUCCAACAUUUUAAUCAGCCCAAUAAUCUUAAAUGAACCGGUUUCAUACACCCCUUCCAGCCCAUAGGCCCUUAUGUCGUUAGUUCUGUUCACAACAUAUACACCAGAUAGGUUUUACCCAAAUCAAAAUGUGAGUCUCUAUAAUACUUGUACAACUGACUAUGAAUUAUUUAGCAAAAUUUAAGCAUGAUGUACAUGUAUCUUUGAGACUUGAAGAAGUCUAUUACCAUUGACAAUCAAGGAGUAGCAAUUACUGGAAAUGUGUCAGUAAAUCAAGUCUUUUGUCAUCAGAAUGCAAAUAUAUGGUCAUGAUACUCUAUCAUACGCUUUGGCCAUAUAUAUCCAAUUUGAGCACUACAUUCCCUUCCUCAUUCCUGGGAUAAUAGAAUAUUUUCUGUAAUAGAUCUUCCUUUGAUGAAAUCACUCUGAUUUCUGCUAAUCAGAGUUGGUAGAAUGGAUAACUUUUGAGAAUGCUCUAGUUAUAGGUCUCAUGUCUGAAAAUUGUUAUGGAGAAUUCCCCUUAGGGAUCAUGGCAAUACAAGUAUCACGAGCCAACCAUUUAGCAUGGCCUUCACAACCUCAGGUGCAAUAGUAGACCAGCUAAUUUGUUGUGUACCCAUCAGACUAUCAGGAUCCAUAGUGAAAAGGCUAUCUUUGAUCUCUUCUUGAGAAGGAAGUAGAAUCAGAGGAAUUAUUAGUAUCCUCAUGCAUCAAUCACAAUAUCUAUGCAGGAUAUAUAGCUCAUUGAAGUAUCUAACAAUAGUCUGUUGCCUUGUACCCAAGAUUGAAUUGAUUUUCAUCCAUGAUCUUGUUAAUCCUUAAUGUGAAAGUAGCUAGGUAGUAUUAGAGUCUCCCUCAUGUGAAAGUAGGCAGCUUUCUAUUUUAACAACACUUUAUCUUGUGCAUCUCUAUUAUUACACCAAGUAUGCAUAUUCCCAAAAAAGACAGAAACUUGGACUCAAACAUGAGAGUCAAACCCAAAAGACUAGUCUGAUAAGUAGGGGAACCAAUUUGAUUAACAUAUAAAUCAAUUAGCAUUUCUCUGUUUAUCUGAUGAGGAACAAUUGGCACAUAAUACAUAAGUUUGCUUUCUAAUUGUACAAGCCUACAACCAAGUUUGACAUAAACUGAUCCAAGUGAAAAAUUAAAAGAAUUUUUCUUUCUUUUACUAGAAAUUUUACAUGUAUGCUUGCUCUCUAGAAGCUAACAAGACUAGAAGAAAAGAGACCUUUCUCUUGCCUUGUAUACUAGUAAAAACACAAACAUGCACAUCUACAACAAACUUUAGAUGUCAAUUGUCUCAACAGGAAGUAAGCACCAGCAACUUUUUCAACAAAAUCUGAUAACUGUCUCAAAAUUUUCAAUAAAUUUGAUGGUAACGAGAAAAACAGAAAAAGGGCAGUUACAACGAGCCAACAAACAGCAAAACCAAAGUUUUCAUCCUUGUCAACAUGACAAACCAAGAACUUUUCCACCAACAUUCUUUCUCCUAGCCUCUUCAUGGUCCAUGAUUCCAGCUGAGGUAGUCAGCACAAUGUACCCGAACUGCAAUUUGAAACCAAUACGUAAAGAUCAGAACAUAAAAAUAGAUAAUAUACAGAGUAAAACUGACUAACAACUAAGACUUGUACUACAUCUGUGAUCGCUGAAAAUAUCUGCAAUUUCAUUUGCUUGGUAUCAAGUAUCAACUACAUAUGAUGCUUCAAUCCACAAAGAAACACACUUCUCAUGGACAGCAGAUCAAGACUUUGUUAGCCAAGCCAUAGGAUACAAAAUUUCUCCUUUGGAUAGACAGGAAUGCUUCCUUUACAAGAGAGCCUCAACUGCAAAGAGCGCUUGCUCCUUUGGAUGGAUGGGUCUUGUAAGCAUUACAGAUGAGUACUCAAGAUUUUUACUGCUUAAGAAGAAGCAAUAAUUUUCAAAUAUCAUUUUCUCCCUUUGAAACAAAACUACUUUUUUCAAAUUUCACAAUGAAACAUUGGUUAAACGCCCAUAUAGCAAGCCAAUUCAUGAUUCGGCAAAGAAGUAAGGAAUCAAAAAUUAGUAAUGUCUAUUUCACAAGCUAAUAUGACCAUGACUUGACAUUCACCCCAACAAUCAUUUCGGCUCAAUUUGGAGAUAACCGGAAAUGGAGUUCCAUAUAUUGAUCAAAGUGAAUAUAUUAAUUACUAUACCUGUCGGGAAGGGAGGGAGCAAUCUAGCAGUCCAUCCUUCAAUCUCCAACAUCGAAGCGAGGACUAAUGACACCACACUUGUGUAGCCUUCCAUUCAGUUCGACAACAAUCUUUCCGGACCUAUGAUCAUCGACAUACUCAAAUUCUCCGAUGUAACCUACACAUAGAUACCAACAGUAAUAAAAUGAUUUUGUUAGUAUCCUCAUCAAUCACAGUACCGAUGUAGGAUAUAUAGCUUUUGAAACUUGUCUGUUGCCUUGUACCCAGAGUAGAUUGAUUUUGUUUUAGCUAUAACAAUAGCUUGUGAAAGUAGAGUCUCCUUCUCUUUCUGUUUCAGCUAUAGAGUCUGGAUUGUUAUUAAGAACCAGCUGACUGUAGAUGUCUCCAUAGACCAACUAACUACUAAGCUUAGUAGAUGUCCUCUUUAAUCAUGGAAUUGAGAAUGCUUAGGAACUCAUCUUCACAAUUACUGAACUGCACUGAAAGGAAGAUAUUAUUGAUGUUUGCAUAGCUAGCAUCCUUGAAGGUCAAGCUUUCUCGUGUAGCUGCUCGAUCUGCCUGUACAAAAGGUUCUUGCAAACAUAUGAAUGAAAGUAGAGAGUCUUGAGUCUUUCAAAAGCACUUUGAGUCCUAACACUCCAAGAAAUGGUGUUAAAUCAUUCAAAUGUGUAUAUGUCGAUUGAGUGUAUGCGAUUCUAUAUCUUAAGUAUUGUUGGACAUAAGUUUACAUAUACACGACAUACAAAAUAAAUAUAGACCAUCUUAUCAUACAAUUCGUAAUUUCAAAUAUAAGCAUCAAUAUAAUUUACAAGGGAGUGACCAUUGAACUUCUAUGAGGCCUACUAGGCCGCCUAUACCAAAUAACAACCAAUGACAUACAGAAAAAUAAACCCAAAAUUACAAACGUCAUUAUUACAUUUAAAUAAUUCCUACUAGAACUUUUAUUGGGGGGGAAGUUGGGAAGAAGAGGUGGUGAAGAGGGUGUGUAAUUCCCUUCGUAUUCUAUAAUGGCGGUUGUAAUUUUAUUCGUGUCGUGUGUCUGACUAAUAUUUGUUCCUGCAACCAUAUAAUAAUAAUCUGGCUGCUGGUUCGCCUCGAAGAUACAAUCCACCGAUUGUUGUAUACUCAAUUCGACGUAGUCCGUUGAAAAUGGCUUUGUUAUAGGACUUCCAUCCAUCGCGACUACGGUUAAGUUGUGCCUUGCAAUCCCAAAGAAAAGUGUUUUACUCAUUGCAGCGUUCACAACUCUGAGAAGAUAUGUCUUCCCAGUAUUCACUACUAUCCUAAACGUUCCUGUACAUUUUAAUUAAUAAAGGAAAAUUAAUAUGAGUGCAACAAACAACUCGAAAAAAAUAAUACGUAAAAUCUUGCUGUCCUAGGGAGCAGUACUGCAUAUAUAUAUAGGCAAGAAUCGCAAAAUAUUAUAUUGUUAGAAAUCAAACAGGAACCAAUUUAAUUAACUUAUAAAUCAAUUAGCAUUUCUCUGUUUAUCUGAUGAGGAACAAUUGGCACAUAAUACAUAAUUUUCCUUUCUAAUUGUACAAAUUAAAAGAAUUUUUCUUUUUUGAAUUUCAAUACAAUUACAACCUAGUACAGCUAAUUAAUGCAUCUUUCUUUUAUCAAAUUCUCAAGGCCCCACCCACCAUUACUUGGAAAAAGUCGUGUCUUUUCCUUGGCUACUAUUAGGAAAUUAAAAGUCUAAUUAAUUA